UCUGAAAGCGGAGUGUUAAAA
rnacentral:piRNA from 1 species